rnacentral:rRNA from 1 species
UACGGGGGGAGCAAGCGUUGUUCGGAUUUACUGGGCGUAAAGGGCGCGUAGGCGGUCAGCACAAGUCAGUUGUGAAAUCUCCGAGCUUAACUCGGAAAGGUCAACUGAUACUGUGCGACUAGAGUGCAGAAGGGGCAACUGGAAUUCUUGGUGUAGCGGUGAAAUGCGUAGAUAUCAAGAGGGAACACCUGCGGCGAAGGCGGGUUGCUGGGCUGACACUGACGCUGAAGCGCGAAAGCCAGGGGAGCGAACGGG